rnacentral:lncRNA from 1 species
UAUGGUCGUUUUAUUUAAAAGUCAUCCAAACCCAAGCGAAAAGUAUUGAUCUAUUUUCGAUAUUUAUAUGCUCAUGUGUACUGAUAAUUUUAAAAGUAUUUGUUUUGCUUUCCAUACCUCGUUCCUUAUUGUUAAUUUUCCUUUUUUAGAUGGUGAUGUUCCUUUGGCACUAUCUUACGGUGUUUGUAUAUCACAACUCCUCCGCUUUGCCCGUGUCUGUUGUAACGUUUUGGAUUUUAAUGAACGAAAUCUAUGUAUUACUGGUAAAUUAUUAAGUCAGGGAUUUCGUUACCACAAAUCACUUAAAAUCUUUACUAAAUUCUAGAUUUGGUUUUGAAGUUUGGUUCUACCUGUAGAAAACUUAUUUCCAACGGGAUAGCACAUCCUCAUUUUUACGGAGAUGUUGUUUACCGUGCCAUUGGAUGCUGGAUGUGUAAUGAUUGAUAAUUUAAGUCUCAGAUGCAUUACUUUUUAUUAGUUGUAAUUGGCUUUGAACUAGCUGUCAGUAACUGCGAGUACUCUCAGAUCUGUACUGAGUGUCUUUUUUUUAUGGGAUGUACAAGUACUCGGUCACGUCCACUCUCUGUUUUUGUUAGAUGUAUUUCUAUUUGUAUCCAUCUGAUGAGUUAAGCCUUUUUCAACUGAUUUGUAUAGUUCGUUCUUAUGUUGUACUGUUACACCACUGUCCCAGGUUAAGGGGAGGGUUGGGAUUCCGCUAACAUGUUUAACCUCGCCACAUUCUGUAUGUAUGUGCCUGUCCAAAGUCAGGAGUCUUUAAUUCAGUGGUUGUCGUUUGUUGCUGCGUUACAUAUUUGUUUUUUGUUCAUUUUUUUAUACAUAAAUUAGGCCGUUAGUUUUCUCGUUUGAAUUGUUCUACAUUUGUCAUUUCAGGACCUUUUAUAGCUAACUAUGCGGUAUGAGCUUUGUUCAUUGUUGAAGGUCGUACGGUGACCUAUAGUUGUUAAUUUCUGUGUCACAUGGUCUCUUGGCAAUUGGCAAUCAUACCACAUCUUUUUUUUUUUUAUAUAUUAUAUGCUCAUAUGCAUUGAUAAUUUUCUUGAAAUAAUCAUAGAUUUUUGUUAGAUGUAUCCAUCUGAUGAGUUAAGCCUUAUUGUUGUCAAUGUUUUUAUUUGUUUUGAUGCUUUAUAUGAUUACAGGAUAUUUUCUAGUGUUUUACCUCUUGUUUUUUUACGUGGCGAGGAUCUUCAGAGGUCUCCACGUUUCACAGAUUGCUCUGUUUUGCCAGACAAGCUGGGCCGAGGGACGUCAGAGCACGUCCCAUAUCAAAAAGUAGAUAUUUCGCCGUAUAAACUAUG